rnacentral:rRNA from 1 species
GAUGAACGCUGGCGGCGUGCCUAAUACAUGCAAGUCGAGCGAACAGACGAGGAGCUUGCUCCUCUGAUGUUAGCGGCGGACGGGUGAGUAACACGUGGAUAACCUACCUAUAAGACUGGGAUAACUUCGGGAAACCGGAGCUAAUACCGGAUAACAUGUUGAACCGCAUGGUUCAACAGUGAAAGACGGUCUUGCUGUCACUUAUAGAUGAUCCGCGCCGCAUUAGCUAGUUGGUAAGGUAACGGCUUACCAAGGCAACGAUGCGUAGCCGACCUGAGAGGGUGAUCGGCCACACUGGAACUGAGACACGGUCCAGACUCCUACGGGAGGCAGCAGUAGGGAAUCUGCCGCAAUGGGCGAAAGCCUGACGGAGCAACGCCGCGUGAGUGAAGAAGGGCUUCGGAUCGUAAAACUCUGUUAUUAGGGAAGAACAAAUGUGUAAGUAACUAUGCACGUCUUGACGGUACCUAAUCAGAAAGCCACGGCUAACUACGUG